GGUACGCUAGCGGCAGGCAUAUACAUGCAAGUCGAACGGCAGCACGUGUAGCAAUACAUGGUGGCGAGUGGCGCACGGGUGCGUAACACGUAUGUAACCUACCUCUAACAGUGGCAUAACAAUGAGAAAUUAUUGCUAAUUCCGCAUGUGGUUAAUUUGAGGCAUCUUAGAUUAACUAAAGAUUUAUCGGUUAGAGCUGGGCAUGCGUCCCAUUAGCUAGUUGGUGAGGUAACGGCUCACCAAGGCAUCGAUGGGUAGGGGCUCUGAGAGGAUUGUCCCCCACACUGGUACUGAGACACGGACCAGACUCCUACGGGAGGCAGCAGUAAGGAAUAUUGGGCAAUGGACGCAAGUCUGACCCAGCCAUGCCGCGUGAAGGAAGACGGCCCUAUGGGUUGUAAACUUCUUUUCUCAGGGGGUAAACUCUGGAACGUGUUCCGGACUGAAAGUACCUGAGGAAUAAGCAUCGGCUAACUCCGUGCCAGCAGCCGCGGUAAUACGGAGGAUGCGAGCGUUAUCCGGAUUCAUUGGGUUUAAAGGGUGCGCAGGCGGAUAUAUAAGUCGGAGGUGAAAUUCUGAUGCUCAACAUCAGCCGUGCCUUCGAUACUGUAUAUCUAGAGUCAAGUUGGAGUAGGCGGAAUGUGUUGUGUAGCGGUGAAAUGCUUAGAUAUAACACAGAACACCGAUCGCGAAGGCAGCUUACUAAACUUUGACUGACGCUCAUGCACGAAAGCGUGGGGAUCAAACAGGAUUAGAUACCCCUGGUAGUCCACGCUGUAAACGAUGAUUACUCGCUGUUGGCGAUACACAGUCAGUGGCUAAGCGAAAGUGAUAAGUAAUCCACCUGGGGAGUACGACGGCAACGUUGAAACUCAAAUGAAUUGGACGGAAGGGCG
rnacentral:rRNA from 1 species